AGUGCUACGCCGGAAGAACGGGUUACAUUGAUGUUGUAAAAUAUAAGAGUAUUAUUCUUUAGCGCUU
rnacentral:tRNA from 1 species